rnacentral:rRNA from 1 species
UACGUAGGGUGCAAGCGUUAAUCGGAAUUACUGGGCGUAAAGCGUGCGCAGGCGGCUUUGCAAGACAGAUGUGAAAUCCCCGGGCUCAACCUGGGAACUGCAUUUGUGACUGCAUGGCUAGAGUACGGUAGAGGGGGAUGGAAUUCCGCGUGUAGCAGUGAAAUGCGUAGAUAUGCGGAGGAACACCGAUGGCGAAGGCAAUCCCCUGGACCUGUACUGACGCUCAUGCACGAAAGCGUGGGGAGCAAACAGGAUAGAA